rnacentral:lncRNA from 1 species
UUUUUUUUUAGAUUUUUUAGUUGUCAUAUUUAUUUAUAUGUGGUGCUGAGAAUUGAACCCAGUGCCUCACACAUGCUAGGCAAGCUCUCAACCACUGACCCCAGCCCUGUAGUUUAGAUUUAAGGAUAAAUAAUUUAAAGAAGAAAGCGCUUAUAUUUUGGAGUCAGACACAUUUGAAUUCAUAUGCUAGAACUCUCCCACAGCUGUGUGAUCUUUGGAAAGAAAAGUGGCAUUUCCUCACAGGGUUGGUAAGAAUAUUGAAUGGGAAUAUUCAAUAUUGGAUAAUUGAGAAUAUUUAAUAUUAUGUGUAAGAAUAUUGAUGGACACAUUGCCUUGUAUGGUAUGUGGCAUUCAACAAGCACUACAGAUAGCUUAGGUGUUUUCUUCUUCUUCUUCCCAUUUUAUUAUAGCAAUUCCUAGCUAAAAAGAAGAUAAAUACUGAAAACACAUGUAAAGUAGGCAAACAUUUCAAAGGUUGCUUAUAUUUGAAGGACAGAAUGUGAAAGAACAUAAAGUGAUUUGCAAAGGAUUAUGCUUUAGUCGGCUUCAGCUGCCAGAAUAAAAUGCCAAAAGACUGGGUGGCUUAAAUAGCAGAGAUUUAUUUUCUCACAGUUUUGGAGGUUAGAAGUCCCAAAUGAAGGUGCCAGCCCAUCUACUUCCUGGUAAGGGCUCUCUUCUCCUUGUGUCCUCACAUGGCAGAAGGAGAGAGUGAGAGAGCAAGAGAGCACUCCCGAAGCAAUUUCUUUUUAUAAGAACACUAAUCCAAUUAUCAGGGCUCCACCCUUAUGACCUCAUUUGACUUUAGUCCUCCUGGUAAAGGACCUAAAUGCACAUUGGGACUUGGGGUUUCAACAUAUGAAUUGAGGCGUACAGGACACAAACAUCCAGUCCAUAGGUCAUAUUUACACUUGGCAUUUCAUUUCAGCUUUUAUUUUGGGAAUUUAAAAUUGCAUUAAGAUUUAUAAAAAAUGCUUCUUUCCUUAUCCUGCCUUUCUGGAUUCAGCCAGGGAAGGAGGCCAGAAGGCUGCAGCAGCAUCCUACAAUUUGUUGACAUUUUCCCACAGCACUGGAGGUGUGUAGUCUUCUCUGGGCAGGUCAAAGUUUCCAGGGUUCACUGCAAUUGGAAUGGGGCUUCAAAACUGCCCUCUUGGGCGAUGGGGGAGAAAUUAAGAGAAGGAAGGAGUGAGAGAGACAACAGAUCUCAAAA